rnacentral:rRNA from 1 species
UACAGAGGUCUCAAGCGUUGUUCGGAUUCAUUGGGCGUAAAGGGUGCGUAGGCGGCCAACUAAGUCGGACGUGAAAUCCCUCGGCUUAACCGGGGAACUGCGUCCGAUACUGGAUGGCUUGAGUUCGGGAGAGGGAUGCGGAAUUCCAGGUGUAGCGGUGAAAUGCGUAGAUAUCGUGAGGAACACCGGUGGCGAAGGCGGCUAC